rnacentral:lncRNA from 1 species
AGAAAAAGAAAGAGAAAAAAAAAAGGAAAAAAAAAACAUGAAGAAUGAGCUCAAUGUAAAAAUAAAGGAAAAGGGAAGAAGUUGGUAAUGAGUGAGAUUGGUGAAAAAAAGAGAGUUGUUCUUGAACUUUUAAUGUUAAAAUAACUAUCUUAACUCAAGGAUUUUGUAUUCCGGAAAAACCAAUUUUCUUGAUAGCCUAG